CUCUCAUUCUUUACAUCAUUCUUUACAUUUUUAAGAUCAGUACAUUGGUGGAAAACACGGUUCAUUCAUUGCAUUCACAAAAUGAACCUUUUCUUGUCAAAUUGACCAUAUAAGUUCACAGUUUUUUUUAAUUUAAAUUCUACGAUUGUGUUUUUCAUCCUUGAUUUGGUUCUCGGAUUUUAAAUAUACAUAAGCAUUAACCUUGAUUCUUUUUUUUUUUUUUUUGCGCACUAACCUUGAUUCUAUUCAUUUCAGUUUUUUUGGUCACAAGUUGUAUUAACUUCAGAUAACAAGUGAUAAGAGGUAAUGGCGGUAAAAGGCCAUUCUCAUUGUCAGCCUAGCUAAACAUAGACAACUUCUCGGAUAUCCAAAAGCGUGUGGCAGAGAUUUCGUCGUAGCUCUUGACAAUAUCCAAAAGCGUGCGCUUCUCAAGAACUCAGUCUCCAUUCUUUCACAAGAUGACAAUAUCUCGAAAUGCUUACAAUACCUUCAUUUGGUUGGAUGGAGUGGAAGUGUUUCAUCUUCUGCAGGACAUAAUGUAUACCAGAGCAGUCUGUCUCGUUUACCAUCUCCAGCAGAGAUCAAAAAGACUGGUGUAAUACUCUGUACAAGCUGGUGUCAAAAAUCUUGGUUGCUAAGUAGAAAACUCAUCCUGCCUGGUAUCAAACACCUUUGUUAGCCUAUGAAAUUGUGAGUGGUUACCACAAAGACAAAGGAUUCACAGAUACACUUCAAAGGCACUGGAGGGUUAAGACAGGGUGACCCCUUGUCUAGCACUAAGUAGCUAUCUUUUGCGAGGGAGGCAGGUUUUAAUGCAAUGCAACCCUGUCCUCUCUAUGGCAUGACAGUCAUUGGAUCCUCACUAGUCCCUGGUAGAUCGCCUGGAGAUAAGAAAUUCAAUUGGCUGGUGAAUGGAAACUAACUAUACAUGAGAUCCCUGAUUCGAUUCAAAAAGGGAAUACAAACUUCUGGUGAAACAGAAUCACGGCCUCAAAACCAAGCAGAGAGGCUAGUGCCAAAAUGAGACUUUGGCUCUGUCUCCCUUGUGUGGAUAGGUAAUCCCCCCAGACCUUUCAGAGUUGACUGCCGCACGCUGUUGGGCAAGACCUUAACCAACAUUACAAAUGGGAUUGUAGCUAGAAAAUUUGUUAGCUAAAGAAUAAAGAAGCUGUGGAUUGUUCAUCACCAACCAGUAUACUUAAAAACAGAACUUCAGCAUCCUAGAUUGCUAUUAUCAGAAAGAAAGUUAUUAAGUUCUUCAAGAAUUAGUGUACAAUCUUUCCCUCUAUAAACAAUCCAAUAAUGGAUAAAAUUGUAACAUCCCUGAAUUGUGAGAUACAAUUUUCGAAUCAC